GGCCUGGUAGCUCAGUUGGUAGAGCAGAGGAUUGAAAAUCCUUGUGUCGGUGGUUCGAUUCCGCCCCGGGCCA
rfam:Massilia sp. LC238 contig36, whole genome shotgun sequence.